GUGGACAGGCGGGGCAGCAGCUGCCGGCACAGCUGCGCUAGGAAGACCAAGGUAUCUGUGGAGAUGACAGCCACACAUGCUCCUAUGGAGAGGGAAGAGGCACGUCGCGUUUUCUGCAAACGUUUCCCAGGCUGUCUUAGCCGGACUGUGCUCGGGAGAAUAACUCAGGGUGUCUUGACGGCCCUUGCAACUGUUCUGAACUUGAAGAACGGAGUUCUGCUAUCAGCUCUAUCUCCAUUUAGCUCCAGAAGGAACUGGAUUGUUUUGAAGAAAGUCAAAUGGAAGAGUUUCAUCUGUAAGCUUUGGAGAAACUUUACCCAAAAAGGCAAAGUGGAUUCUCUCUCGGGCAGAUCAGAGAUGAGACAAACUUUGACCUGGAAGACAGGCACAGAGCAGCAAUGGAACUGGCCAGUUAUUUCUAGAAUCAGGGGUUCUUUUUUUAAGAAAAAUUAAAAGUGCAUUUUUUAAUUU
rnacentral:lncRNA from 1 species